rnacentral:rRNA from 1 species
GAUGAACGCUGGCGGCGUGCCUAAUACAUGCAAGUCGAGCGAACAGACGAGGAGCUUGCUCCUCUGACGUUAGCGGCGGACGGGUGAGUAACACGUGGAUAACCUACCUAUAAGACUGGGAUAACUUCGGGAAACCGGAGCUAAUACCGGAUAAUAUAUUGAACCGCAUGGUUCAAUAGUGAAAGACGGUUUUGCUGUCACUUAUAGAUGGAUCCGCGCCGCAUUAGCUAGUUGGUAAGGUAACGGCUUACCAAGGCAACGAUGCGUAGCCGACCUGAGAGGGGGGUCGGCCACACUGGAACUGAGACACGGUCCAGACUCCUAAGGGAGGCAGCAGUAGGGAAUCUUCCGCAAUGGGCGAAAGCCUGACGGAGCAACGCCGCGUGAGUGAUGAAGGUCUUCGGAUCGUAAAACUCUGUUAUUAGGGAAGAACAAAUGUGUAAGUAACUAUGCACGUCUUGACGGUACCUAAUCAGAAAGCCACGGCUAACUACGUG